GUGAGGCAGGACAUAUAUAGGAGCACACUCGAACACUGCAACUGUUAUCAGAGAUUUUCACUGCAACUGUCACGACACAAGGAUUUUAUUUCUGGAUUCCUCCUUAUAAUGAAGACAUGGAUACUUUUCCAAGUAGCAGCACUGGCUGCCGUUUCCUUAGCCCAGCAGGACUGCUCCAGGGGAGCUUGCUACCCACCAAUGGGAGACCUUCUCAUCGGACGUGAGCAACAGCUCCGCGCCUCCUCCACCUGCGGA